rnacentral:misc_RNA from 1 species
UGGGCAUUUAUGUUUGUUCUCUCUCUUGUGAUGAUGACACUCUAUCCGGUUUUGAUAGCCCCACUUUUUAAUAAGUUCACUCCACUUCCAGAAGGAGAUCUCAGGGAGAAAAUUGAGGCACUUGCUUCCUCCCUCAAGUUUCCUUUAAAGAAAUUGUUUGUUGUAGAUGGAUCUACAAGGUCAAGCCAUAGCAAUGCAUACAUGUAUGGCUUCUUUAAGAACAAGCGAAUUGUCCUUUAUGAUACACUGAUUCAGCAGUGCAAAAACGAUGAGGAAAUUGUAGCUGUAAUUGCUCAUGAAUUGGGGCAUUGGAAACUUAAUCAUACUAUGUACUCAUUUAUUGCUGUGCAGAUUCUCACAUUUUUGCAAUUUGGAGGAUAUACUCUUGUGAGAAACUCAAGCGAUCUGUUCCGAAGUUUUGGGUUUGAUACGCAACCUGUUCUCAUCGGACUGAUCAUAUUUCAGCAUACCGUAAUACCUCUCCAACACCUCGUGAGCUUUGGUCUUAAUCUCGUGAGCCGUUCUUUUGAAUUUCAGGCUGAUGCUUUUGCCAAGAAGCUUGGUUAUGCAUCUGCUCUUCGUUCUGGUCUUGUGAAACUACAGGAAGAAAAUUUGUCAGCCAUGAAUA